rnacentral:lncRNA from 1 species
UUGCCUUAUCCUUCUUAGAUAAUCAAAUAAUAACCCUUAUCCGCCACCCCAUUUUUUACCGCCUUGGGCCGGCAAGGCCACCCCCAACCAACCCCAAAUUAACACUGUAGAACCCCUAUGAAUCCCUCUCCCCAAAUCCUCACUUUGUUUCCCUCGAAUCUUGCUAGAACUUCUCGAAUCUUAGAUCGAUGGCGGAACCCUAAAAUCCCAAAAAUGUCAAAAAAUCAAAAUUUCGUUAAAGAUUUAGGACUAUUUUGACUUUAUUGAAUUGGGCUGAAAAUUGAAAGAUUUUGAAGACUCAGUCUCCAUUUCUUACCGAUUCGAGAUUUUUUUAGGUAUUUUUCUUUUCUUUACCUUUUGAUAUUUAAUUUCUAUUUUUUUGUUCUCUUCUCAUCUUUGACUACUCUUUCUUUUAUUUUUCUGAUUUUUAUUUUUCAUUAUUUUCUAUCUCUUCAAAUUAUCUGUAUUUGCAUAUUAGUUUUAGAACUUGUUUAAUUAGUAUUUGUUUUCUGUUUUUUUGUUUUAUGUAUCUACCUUUCUUUGGGCCCAAAAAUUGCACGAGUCUUUAAGACUAUGUAAACAAACUGGUAAAUGUCUCUGAGCUUCCAAUUUCGAAUUGUGGCUCCUAUAAAUCCAAAAGCCUAAGAGGGGAUUCAAUCGGAAUUGACAGACCCAUAACAGUUGAAUUUGAUCAAUUUGACCCCUGUGCUGUCUGGUAUCUUAAGGUAAAAAUAAUGGUCUUAAAGGGUAGAUUAGAAAAUCUAGGUGAAAGAAUCUCAUUUAACUGAAUUAGGGACUUAUGUGAAAAUACGAAUUUUACACUAGUGGUGUCUAAGCAAUAUUGAGAAUUCCAAAAGGUUUUAAGUGCAAAUGUUGAUUUCUUUAGGCUUUCCUAGAAGCUUGCCCAAAAAGGCAUCAUUACUUGAGAUUCAAGUUAGAUUUUUUAGAGAUAAAAAAUCCAAAAAAACUGAAAUGGAAAAAACAUUUAAAAUAUCCUUGAAUUCCUUGCAUUUUCUUGUUAAAAAACUGCUCAAAAUUUGCUUGGUCUUUGGUUUCUGAUCUCCGUUACUAAGUUGAAACUACUGAAAAUAAUGAGGACUUACACCUGAUUUGACAUUGAUUGAAAUUGAAUUUGUAAAAGUUUUGGUUUGAGCUUUUUUUUUUGUUGUUGUUUGGUCCAUUGUUGGGUUGGAGCUGAUUUCUGUUGAUGCAUCCCAUUGUUGAUCUGCUACUGCUGUCUGUUUAUUCCUAAUCUCGAAACUAAGUUUUUGGUUCUGUUUUGCUAUAUACUGGUACAUGAUCUUGCACCUUAUUAAAUGUAAGGUUUUAAUUGAAGAGUGAAAUUAAAAAAUGAAAGUUUGAAGCCUAGCAUUAAGUUAUUUGUUCAUAGUUUAGUUUAUUUCUUUUUCUUUUCUCUGAAUCCCUUGGUUUUUGAAAUCAUUUCUUUUGUUCUACUACUCUUUCAACAUGUAGUGGUGGGUCUUGUAUUACAUUUGUUACUUAAGCUUCUUCUUUUGAUAAUCAUGCACUGUGAAAGUUGAAGUUAUGCCUUUGAAAGUUUAAUAAUAUAUUGGAUUUGGGUGGUAGAUAAAUCCAUGCAGUAGUUACAUGCUUGCUUUCAAUUUUGUCUUUUUGUACUCAUCUGUUAAAAGAAUGAAUCCAUGUGGUUGAGAAUAUGAGUGUGAUUUUGAGGUUGAAGUAAUUUGUAUUCUAGUUUUCUGGGGUUCUGAUAGCAUUGAGAAGAGCUUAAUUGAGUUUAAGUUUCUUAAGUAGUAGUUAGUAUAAAAUUCAUGUGAAAAGGAAAAGGAAAAAAUGGUCAAGAUUGCAUUUAAGAGUAAAGGCAUAUUACUAUUUUAAUAUGAAUUGUGUAUGAGCAUGUUAAGUUAGAAUUGGUAUUUAAAUUUCAGAAUGAUUAGCUAAUUAACUUGUGCUUGGAUAGUUAAAUUUCAGAAAUAAAAAUGUUAAUUCAAUUGAAUGUUUCGUAUAGUCUUGAUUGGAUUUGUAUUUUUGAUUGAUUUUUUACCAACGAUUGGGUUAUGAAAAUAGGGCUUUAAAGUUGGCCCAGCAAAGGACUGUCCCUCUCAGACACGCUUGUAUGUCCUGAGUCCUUGACGUCUAUUCUCUUAAGAAUAGGACUCAUCUUGGGCCCAAGUCUGAAAUUUAGGCAAAUGAAAUUAUAUGCUCCUGUGUUUUGGGCCUGCCUUUUGAUUUCCCUUCCGAAUGUUGUUGAUUGUCUAAAAUGUUUCUCUUGUUUUAAAUAAUCAGCCAUAUUUCUCUUUAAGACAUUUUCCUCUUAAUUAGUUUAGACAUUAGUAUAAAAGUAAAAUUGAUUUAUUGUUUUUAUAGUUAUAUUCCUUUAAUAGCUGGGGCACGCCAUAUUAAAUACGAUAUAAUUUAUGGCCCUCAAAGUUUUGUUUGAGUUUUCCUUUAAAAGUUGGAAUAAAGGUGUGCCAUGCCAAAUGAAAUCUCAAAAUGCAUGGCCCUCGCUUAAUUACUAUUUUAAUCUCGCGACGUGCCAUUUAACUGAAUUUUCAUGGCCUCGCAAACAUGAAUGUUCAUAGUUGCUUUGGGCGCGGUAUUUUAAGACUUACCAUCCUAAAUUCGGUGGUGCAUUUCAUGUGACCAAAAUUCAAAUCUCAGCAACGUUUAAUAAAAUGUGUCACGGACCACGGGUGCAUUUCAUGUGGCGCGGUCCAAAGACGUAUUUUAGAUGACGUUGAAAUCUUUCCUAAAAAUAAUUGAAAGCGGUUAAUCUGUUAAAAUAUACCAUAGGUAUAACAUGUAUUAAAAUUAGAUAAUAGACCAAUUAUGAUAGUUUAAGCGACCAUUCUAUAACCACGGAAUCCGGGGGUGCCUAACACCUUCUCUCGGUUUAACAGAAUUCUUUAUUUAGAAUCUCCGGUUCGCAGACUUCAAAAGGAAAAUCGAAUUUCCUCGAUUUUGGAUUUUCAGCUAAACCGAUGACAUGGGACACCACAAUAAAUAUCCCAAGUGAUAACUUUGAUAUAAAAUAAUUCCAUUUCAAAUAAUAUUAUUUAAAUUAGAAACAUUUCCUUAUAUUACCCUUUGGAUGUGCAAAAAGAAAGUGUGACGGUUAGCUUCAACUAAAUCGUUCACUAGCUUAUUCUUUACUCAUCCAUUGCAAAAAAUUCGAAGACAUGCUUUGUUGCCCCCAUGUGUUUUAAUUUGUGCAGUGUAUUUCAAGUUUAGUACUAACAUUUUCCAUCUGUUUUAAGGGUUGAUGCGUGUGCAUUGACUGCACCAAACUUCACUUCUUCUUCUUUUCUUUUUUUUUUUUGGAAAAAGUUUAAUCCAUUAAGUAUUAAAUUUGCUUCUUCUUUCAUUAAUAAUUUUUUUUGUGGGUAAGAGUGGAAUAGGUUUCUUAACUGUGAUGAAAAAAAUAGCAGCAAAAUUUAAUAUUUGUUACAUUUAAAUUACAUUCAUAGUUAAUGAAGAAAAUCCUAUUUUAAAGGUCAGAUAUUUAAAGGUGAUACAAAGCAAGUGGAAUAUACAUGAAGUUGUCAUAUACUUCUUCUAUUAUUAUUAUUUUUUUGUGGUGCAACUAAAUUAUUCUGAACUUAGACUACAAACCUUCCACGUGAAGGAAAUCAUCGCACCUACUGUCUAACCAACUAGUUCUUUAUUUUGUCACGUAGAAAAUGAGAGGCACCGAGUUUUGUUUGUUUCAUAUAUACUGCGUUAGUGGUCUUGCAUGCUUAUGAGUGCUUCUUUAAAGGAGGAAUAACUAGCUCUUUAUUUUGCCAAGUAGAACAAGAUGAGAAGCACUCAUUUUUGUUGGUUUCAUAUUGCUUUAAUUAGUGGUAUUAUAUGCUUAUUACUUCUUUGAAAUAUAGUAAUAUACACUUGACUUUUCUAGGUAACAGAAUCCCAUAGCAAAGGAAAGUGCUUUCGAUAACUUUUAAAAGAAAAUCACAAUUCUUCAACGUAUAAAUCCAAAUUUAGCUUCUCUAUUAAUAUUCUUACCUAAUAUAUUGGUCAUACAUGUGCUUAGGCCUUGAUUAGGGAAAAGUAAAUUACACAUACUUUUAUGAUUGGGCACUUAUAUUAAUUUGCACUGUAAUUCUCUACUUUUUUCUCUAUCCCGACUGAUGUAACAGCAUCUUCGUUUGUUGGCUGUCAUGGCUAUCAACUAAAGAAAGACAGACUUGAGCUUAGAAGAAUAGAAAAUUUGACAAAGAACAGAUCGAGGGAAAUGAUAAUGCAAUAUUUAAUUUUUAUUUACUAUGAGUGCACAAUGUAUAUAUACAGUACAUAACUACCACCUAACAACCUAACCAUAACUAACUUCUAUCUACCAAACCAUACAUUUAACAACCUAACUAUACACUUUACAGUUAAGUCUACGAACGGACUAUAGUUAGUCAUCAGCUUGUGUUUAUUUAGCCAACACUCCCUGUCACGCCCUGAACCAUGGUCUGGCAAUAACACGCUACCCGACGCCUUAUUGCAUGUGACCGAAAAACCAAUUGUAUGGCUAAAUCAACAUGUGGUAUAACUAUAAGCUAGAGGUAAAUAUACAUCUUGAUAAUCUACUAAAGAGUCUGACUGAAAUAUCAUAGAAAUGGAAAAUACUGAAUGGGUCUACAAGUAUAAACAAGUAGCCGACAAGGCUAAUAUAUAAAAAGCCUGGUAAUAUCUGGCUGACUAGGUUAUAGUCUACGAAACCUCUAAAGAAUACUGAAAAUGCCAACCGUUUACGAGGACAAUGUUCCCGGUAUACCUUAUUAACUGAAAUACUAUAAUGACUAAAACAAAAGAGAGAUAAGGCCCCGAAAUACUAGGGCUCACCAAUAGCCGAUACGAGAUAUCCUAGCAAGCAGAAUCGUCAACCUGAAAAUUGUUACCUACAUCGCAAGAUGCAGGCCCUGGGCAAAAGGGACGUCAGUACAUUUGAAUUGCACUGGUAUGUAAAACAUUUGAACAAAAGAACUAUAAAUACUUAAACUGAAACUGAACUGCUAGCUAAUAAACUGAUAACUGAACAAGGAAGUAAGGAUAUGAAUACUCCAUCUUUUGAAUGAUGAACAACCU